rnacentral:lncRNA from 1 species
AAAAACCCAUCCAAAAUUUUCUCUUGUUGAUGACAAAUCGUCGGCGGCGUUCAAGUACUCUUUGAAUUCAGACUCAGAGUACUUUUCAUGAAAUCCAUCGAAUCCCGUAACAAUUGACAACAAGUACCCAUCAUCAUCUUCUAAUUCGACCAUCCUCUCUUUCAUGUGCUAAAUUCGAGAACUCGAUCUGCAAGUGCAACACACCCUAUCUUUCUCACCCUUAUUAAUUUGCUGAUAAAAGAAAAAUGAACUGUAU